rnacentral:rRNA from 1 species
AACGAACGCUGGCGGCAUGCCUAACACAUGCAAGUCGAACGAGACCUUCGGGUCUAGUGGCGCACGGGUGCGUAACGCGUGGGAACCUGCCCUUAGGUUCGGAAUAACUCCCCGAAAGGGGUGCUAAUACCGGAUAAUGUCUUCGGACCAAAGAUUUAUCGCCUUUGGAUGGGCCCGCGUUGGAUUAGCUAGUUGGUAGGGUAAAAGCCUACCAAGGCGACGAUCCAUAGCUGGUCUGAGAGGAUGAUCAGCCACACUGGGACUGAGACACGGCCGAGACUCCUACGGGAGGCAGCAAUGGGGAAUAUUGGACAAUGGGCGAAAGCCUGAUCCAGCAAUGCCGCGUGAGUGAUGAAGGCCUUAGGGUUGUAAAGCUCUUUUACCCGGGAUGAUAAUGACAGUACCGGGAGAAUAAGCUCCGGCUAACUCCGUG